GACGAACGCUGGCGGCGUGCUUAACACAUGCAAGUCGAACGAUGAAACCUAGCUUGCUAGGUCGAUUAGUGGCGAACGAUCGAGUAACACGUGACUAACCUGCCCCUCUCUCUGGGAUAACGCUCCGAAAGGAGUGCUAAUACCGGAUACUCACCCCUAGGCACAUGCCUUGUGGUGGCAAGUGUUCCGGAAAGGGAUGGAGUCGCGGCCUAUCAGCUUGUUGGUGAGGUACCGGAUCACAAAGGCGAGGACGGGUAGCCGGCCUGAGAGGGCGACCGGCGACACAGGGAUCGAGACAGGGCCCAGACUCCUACGGGAGGCAGCAGUGGGGGAUAUUGCACAAUGGGGGCAAGCCUGAUGAAGCGACGCCGCGUGAGGGAUGGAGGUCUUCGGAUUGUAAACCUCCUUCAGUAGGGACGAAGCGAAAGUGACGGUACCUAAAGAAGAAGCACCGGCUAACUACGUGCCAGCCGCCGCCGUAA
rnacentral:rRNA from 1 species